rnacentral:rRNA from 1 species
UACGUAGGGUGCAAGCGUUAAUCGGAAUUACUAGGCGUAAAGCGUGCGCAGGCGGUUUUGUAAGUCUGUCGUGAAAGCCCCGGGCUCAACCUGGGAAUUGCGAUGGAGACUGCAAGGCUUGAAUCUGGCAGAGGGGGGUAGAAUUCCACGUGUAGCAGUGAAAUGCGUAGAGAUGUGGAGGAACACCGAUGGCGAAGGCAGCCCCCUGGGUCAAGAUUGACGCUCAUGCACGAAAGCGUGGGGAGCAAACAGG